rnacentral:rRNA from 1 species
AUUGAACGCCGGCGGCAUGCUUUACACAUGCAAGUCGAACGGCAGCGCGGGCUUCGGCCUGGCGGCGAGUGGCGAACGGGUGAGUAAUACAUCGGAACGUGCCCAGUAGUGGGGGAUAGCCCGGCGAAAGCCGGAUUAAUACCGCAUACGACCUGAGGGUGAAAGCGGGUGAUCUUCGGACCUCGCGCUAUUGGAGCGGCCGAUGGCAGAUUAGCUAGUUGGUGGGGUAAAGGCCUACCAAGGCGACGAUCUGUAGCUGGUCUGAGAGGACGACCAGCCACACUGGGACUGAGACACGGCCCAGACUCCUACGGGAGGCAGCAGUGGGGAAUUUUGGACAAUGGGCGAAAGCCUGAUCCAGCAAUGCCGCGUGUGUGAUGAAGGCCUUCGGGUUGUAAAGCACUUUUGGCGGGAACGAAAAGGACUGUGCCAAUACCACGGUUCGAUGACGGUACCCGCAGAAUAAGCACCGGCUAACUACGUG